rnacentral:rRNA from 1 species
AGUGAACGCUCGGGGUAGGUCUAACCUAUGCCAAUCGAACGCAACCCCCCGAACGCCUGCUCUCUGGGUGGCGUUAGACGGCCGUGUGAGAAAUACACCGGAAUCUGUGCAUUUGGUGGGGCUACCGCGGGGUAAAUUACGCUCAUACCGCUUACGUCCUUUGGCAGCAACCGGGGGCUUGUAACACCUCCUGCGUGUGGAUGAGCCGAUGUCGGAUUAGCUAGUUGGCGGGGUAAUGGCCCACCAAGGCGACGAUCCGUAGCUGGUCUGAGAGGAUGAUCAGCCACACUGGAACUGAGACACGGUCCAGACUCCUACGGGAGGCAGCAGUGGGGAAUAAUGGACAAUGGGCGCAAGCCUUAUCCAGCCAUACCGCGUGAGUGAAGAAGGCCGUCGGGUUGGAAAGCCCUUUUGUUAGGAAAGAAAUCUUUCAGGCUAAUACCCUGGGAGGAUGACGGUACCCAAAGAAUAAGCACCGGCUAGCUUCGUG